rnacentral:rRNA from 1 species
AUUGAACGCUGGCGGCAGGCCUAACACAUGCAAGUCGAACGGUAACAGGAAGAAGCUUGCUUCUUUGCUGACGAGUGGCGGACGGGUGAGUAAUGUCUGGGAAACUGCCUGAUGGAGGGGGAUAACUACUGGAAACGGUAGCUAAUACCGCAUAAUGUCGCAAGACCAAAGAGGGGGACCUUCGGGCCUCUUGCCAUCGGCUGUGCCCAGAUGGGAUUAGCUAGUAGGUGGGGUAACGGCUCACCUAGGCGACGAUCCCUAGCUGGUCUGAGAGGAUGACCAGCCACACUGGAACUGAGACACGGUCCAGACUCCUACGGGAGGCAGCAGUGGGGAAUAUUGCACAAUGGGCGCAAGCCUGAUGCAGCUAUGCCGCGUGUAUGAAGAAGGCCUUCGGGUUGUAAAGUACUUUCAGCGGGGAGGAAGGGAGUAAAGUUAAUACCUGUGCUCAUUGACGUUACCCGCAGAAGAAGCACCGGCUAACUCCGUG